rnacentral:rRNA from 1 species
AUUGAACGCUGGCGGCAUGCUUUACACAUGCAAGUCGAACGGUAACAGGCCGCAAGGUGCUGACGAGUGGCGCACGGGUGAGUAAUGCAUCGGAACGUGCCCAGUCCUGGGGGAUAACUACUCGCAAGAGUAGCUAAUACCGCAUACGAUCUAUGGAUGAAAGCGGGGGACCGUAAGGCCUCGCGCGGUUGGAGCGGCCGAUGUCAGAUGAGUUAGUUGGUGGGGUAAAGGCUCACCAAGCCAACGAUCUGUAGCUGGUCUGAGAGGACGACCAGCCACACUGGGACUGAGACACGGCCCAGACUCCUACGGGAGGCAGCAGUGGGGAAUUUUGGACAAUGGGCGCAAGCCUGAUCCAGCAAUGCCGCGUGCAGGAAGAAGGCCUUCGGGUUGUAAACUGCUUUUGUACGGAACGAAACGGCUCGGGUUAAUACCCGGGGCUAAUGACGGUACCGUAAGAAUAAGCACCGGCUAACUACGUG